rnacentral:rRNA from 1 species
AUUGAACGCUGGCGGCAGGCCUAACACAUGCAAGUCGAACGAGUGGCGGACGGGUGAGUAAUGUCUGGGAAACUGCCUGAUGGAGGGGGAUAACUACUGGAAACGGUAGCUAAUACCGCAUACCAUCAGAUGUGCCCAGAUGGGAUUAGCUUGUUGGUGGGGUAACGGCUCACCAAGACGAAGAUCCCUAGCUGGUCUGAGAGGAUGACCAGCCACACGGGAACUGAGACACGUGCCAGACUCCUACGUGAGGCAGCAGUGGUGAAUAGUGCACAAUGGUCGCAAGCCUGAUGCAGCCAUGCCGCGUGUAUGAAGAAGGCCGUCGGGUUGUAAAGUACGUUCAGCGGGGAGGCGUUACCCGCAGAAGAAGCACCGGCUAACUCCGUGCCAGCAGCCGCGGUAAUAC